rnacentral:lncRNA from 1 species
CUUGAAGAUUGGAGGAUAGCCAAUCUCACUCUAAACUUCAAAAAGAACAAGAAAGAGGAUCCAGGAAACUACAAGCCAGUCAGCCUCGUCUCCAUCCCUGGAAAGGUGAUGGAAUAACUUGUUUUAGAUACCCUCUCCAAACAGUAGGAAGAAAAGAAUGUUGUCAGGAGUAAUCAGUAUGGAUUCAUAAAGGGGAAAUCAUGCUUGACCAACCUAGUAGCCUUCUAUGAUGUCAUCACUGGCUGGGUAGAUGGUUGGAGAGUUGUGGAUACUGUCUGCCUUGACAUCAGCAUGGUCUUUGACACCAUUUCCCACAAUGUCCUUGUUACGAAACUUAUUAUGUAGAGGAUAGAUGAGUGGAUGGUGAGGUAGAGUGAAAAAUGCACAUAGCAUUUUUUAGUAGACCUGGUGUUUCUGGAAAUGGGCUUAAGCAAAGAUCCAGAUAGAAAUAAGUGAUAAGAAUAAAUGGGGAUUUCUGAAGGCAGCUGCAAUCCCAAACAAAAUAGAGGGUUUCAGCAGCAGAGCUGCACUCUGUGGAACUGCAUGGCUGUCAGACUGAACUUAUUUCACUGACUCCACUGACAACUGCAAGGCAGAUGGGCUUCAGUUUGCCUGACAUAAGCCACCCAAGAUGGUAGAAAGUGAGAAAACUCAGCGUGUAAAGGUAUUCCUUUGUCUCUCCUGCUGCAUUGGACAUGGAGGAAAGACGGAUAAUGAGGUUUCUCUAGUAGCAGCGAAAGGAUCACAUCUACUGCACUGGAGAAUACUUACUUGACAGUAAAUGCGCCUAAUGGACACACGCCAGAGGAUUCAGCAGGAAUGCGGGUGCUGUCCACCCAUAAGUGAUGGAGGAUAAUGAUGACAGGGAGAGUGUGUGUAUUAUUAUUAAAGGCUUUUAUUACUUAUGGCUC